rnacentral:rRNA from 2 species
GGUGAAACCUAAUUGGCCUGAAGAAGAGCUUGCGUCUGAUUAGCUAGUUGGUGGGGUAAGAGCCUACCAAGGCGACGAUCAGUAGCUGGUCUGAGAGGAUGAGCAGCCACACUGGGACUGAGACACGGCCCAGACUCCUACGGGAGGCAGCAGUGGGGAAUUUUCCGCAAUGGGCGAAAGCCUGACGGAGCAACGCCGCGUGAGGGAGGAAGGUCUUUGGAUUGUAAACCUCUUUUCUCAAGGAAGAAGUUCUGACGGUACUUGAGGAAUCAGCCUCGGCUAACUCCGUGCCAGCAGCCGCGGUAAUACGGGGGAGGCAAGCGUUAUCCGGAAUUAUUGGGCGUAAAGCGUCCGCAGGUGGUCAGCCAAGUCUGCCGUCAAAUCAGGUUGCUUAACGACCUAAAGGCGGUGGAAACUGGCAGACUAGAGAKCAGUAGGGGUAGCAGGAAUUCCCAGUGUAGCGGUGAAAUGCGUAGAGAUUGGGAAGAACAUCGGUGG